GAGCUUGUCUGGGUAAUCGAGAACUGCUAAUUCCUCGUUACCACGGUUCAAUUCCGUGGCCUGCUCG
rnacentral:tRNA from 1 species